CUAGCCUUCCUAUCUCUACCUUUCUUAUCUCCUUGUCUUCCUUAUAUCUCUUCCUAGGCUCUUAUCUUAAAAUCGAACUUGUGCUUACUAUUUUAAGACUUAUCCUAACAAGAGAAGGAAGAGACUAAUUGGACAAUAAGGAGAGAGAUAUAAGAAAGAAGAGAUAAGAGAGAAAUCUAAAUGAAUUAAACCCUGACGCAGGACCCCUUUUUAUAGUUAGUGAUGGGAUGUGUUCAGAGUUAUCUCGUGCCCUCUCCAUGCGACAUCUCAUACCCAACCAGAUAAUCUAAUGCCCUCUACCAAUUUCACAUGCCCAUCUAGAAGCAAGUGACACAUGGCAAACAUCAAAAAAAGAAUCCAAGAGUUGCUUCAUGCAGAAAGACUCUUUUAAAAAAAAAUUUCGUUAUUUUUUUGAUGCAUCGCGAGGCUUUAUUGGGUGGUAUGUCUCUCCAUCAUUGAUUAGCGCUUUUUGGCCAUCCAAGGGCCCACAGAUGAGGUGCUACUCUAAAGAUGGAAUGGAGAAAAAUUCAAUGAUAAAGGUGGCAUGAAACAUUUUUAAGAGACCUAAACAGAUUAGACACUAGGUGGCGC
rnacentral:lncRNA from 1 species